GUAAGAAGGUGAUUGGCUUACGGGGUUUACCCUGAGGAAAGUCCACCCACCGUUGAGUUGUUAAUGUCGAAAGGCAUCCCCAGAGAUGGGAGGGCAACUGAGCAGAAACGAUACCUUGUCAAGUUAAGGAUGACGUUGAGAAACUGACGUUCCUUGUCUUACGAAAGUGAGACGGCAGAAAUCUUUGAUUUCGGCCGAAUGAGGCUGAAACGUUGAAUGAUAUCGCAUUCAGUGUGCUUUAUAGCAUAGCAGUCCUAACCGGUGCAAGCCGGAAACACUUGUCAAAAUGAGUGUUGGCGCUUAGUAUAAUGCCAAAACGUGCUGUCUGAUUACAGAGCAUGACAAAAGGUGGCUUACAGCCUUCUUAC
rnacentral:RNase_P_RNA from 1 species